rnacentral:rRNA from 1 species
UGCUGAUGCCUGAUGGCUGAUUCCUUAAAACUUCACUGUUGCAGUAGCAUUUUUCCUUAGUGCUUCAAACCUUGCUCUCUUUCCCAGGAACCAUCAUCGUCUGCGUCACUACUGGGGCAGGAGAGGAAAGACUGUUGUUGUCUCCAGGAACCGAUAAACUGCUUUACAAAGAUCCCCGCAUAGCUUCACUACUACUGUGUUGGUCCAUUUCCAGAAUUGUAAGGAUAAUGCUUUUGCUUAAGGAGAGGCUCAAGAAGAUCAGGGAGCUCCGCAUCCGAGUUUCAGCCAUCCUCUACAGCAAGGAGCUCCGGUCCAAAGGAGCAACCAACGCUGCUAGUUCCUUGAGGCCAGAUCGAGUAAGAUGGCGCACCAUGGCGUGUGGUGGCGUAUUUUGCUUCUGAGAACAAUACUGUUUAUUUGAAGUGAGAUGUACUAGUCUAUGUUGUAGUGAGCUGUAGUAGGAGUGA